AUUUUGAGUUCUAACCUCAUUUUCUUGCUCACAGGUAGAUUUCAAAGAUGUGAGGAAACUUUCUCUUUGCCAAAAGGGGUGAGACGAUUUGUGAAUCUUAGCAAUUUGUCUUGAAACCAAGUUUUUCAUUUGACUGAUAUAAUGGCCUGAAUGACCAGAAAGGAAGAUUGAAAAUGUGCUGUGUAAAGCUGCUACGUUGUUCGUGAUCCACAGACACCCGUGAGGAGAUCAGACUGAAGGUACAGCGUGACUCAAGUUUCAGGUGCCAAAGAUCAUGGACAGUACAGUAGCAUUGGUGACAACGCCCCCCCCUGCACUGGUAAGGAUGAAGGGAGCACACGAGGAUGCAAAUGCAGCCAGGGUAAAUAUCUUCUCAUCAACUUCUGUUGCGAAUGGCUCACAUGAUCUCAAACCAAAGCUAGGUGGUUUCAAAAAUAUCUUCUCUCUGGCUGAAUGAAGGAGAAGUCUGCCUGUAACAGAGGCCUGAGAACAAGACAAUGGAAGAGAGAAAGGCUGCAAGGAGGAUUUGAUAUGAUAUAGCCUCCCGGUCCAAGAAGGAGCUGCUGGAUGCUAAGAACCACAAGCUACAAGAGGAAAUUAUGGAACUGUCAAUAUGGCAUGUUUCACCUCCCACCUCCAGACCCAGGAGAGGAGGCUUUCAAGGAAGAGCUCGAAAAGGGGAAUAAUCUCCAAGAAAAUUCCGGACUUCGAUAAGAGACAAAAAUCAACACAUAAAUUAGUGUUACUGGACUUCUUGCUGCUGAGAUC